UGGGGAAAAGAAAUGAGAUUAAAAGAAAAAAAAAUGAAAUUAAAAAGGAAAAGAAUUAAAGAAUCUAACUUAAACUGAUCUUAAACUAAACUAAGCCUAUAUGAAAAAUAAGAAAAAGAACUUAAGAAUCUCCUAAACUAAAGUAAACAUUAUUAUGCUUGAAUUAAAAAACAACAACUAAAGCUAACUUAUGAAUGCUAUGAAAUAAUGAUUAAAGGAGACUAAAAUUAAACAUGGAUAUGAAAACAAAUGAUGCAUGAAAUCAAUGAACAAUUCAAUGAAAAGGAAUGAUAUAUACACAUAACAGAGCCAAAUGAAAGAGAAUGCAGAAUUCCACUAUCUAAGCUAAACAACCUGAUCUAUUCAAUAGAAAUACCAAAAAUAAAAUAAUCAGAAAAAGAAACAUUGGCUAAAACAGAAAUUAGAAUCAAAAUCAUAAAGGAUUAGUGUAAAGAAUGUUUAAUCACAGUUCAAGAAGACAUCCUGUGAAAAUAGGCCCACUUUG
rnacentral:lncRNA from 1 species